AGAGUUUGAUCAUGGCUCAGGAUGAACGCUAGCGGCAGGCCUAAUACAUGCAAGUCGAACGCUCAGUAGCAAUACUGGGGAGUGGCGCACGGGUCGCGUAACGCGUACACAAUCUACCUCUAAGCGGGGGACACCUCCUGGAAACGGGGAUUAAUACCGCAUAAUAUGCCGAAGUCGCAUGACUUUGGUAUUAAAGCAGCAAUGCACUUAGAGAUGAGUGUGCGUCCCAUUAGGUAGUUGGUGAGGUAACGGCUCACCAAGCCUAUGAUGGGUAGCCGGUCUGAGAGGAUGGUCGGCCACACGGGCACUGAGACACGGGCCCGACUCCUACGGGAGGCAGCAGUAAGGAAUAUUGGACAAUGGUGGAAACACUGAACCAGCCAUGCCGCGUGGAGGAAUAAGGUCCUACGGAUUGUAAACUCCUUUUGACGAGGAAGAAAAUGUUAGAUUUAUCUAAUUUUGACGGUACUCGUAGAAUAAGCACCGGCUAACUCCGUG
rnacentral:rRNA from 1 species